rnacentral:rRNA from 1 species
AUUGAACGCUGGCGGCAGGCUUAACACAUGCAAGUCGAACGGUAACAGGAAGAAAGCUUGCUUUCUUUGCUGACGAGUGGCGGACGGGUGAGUAAUGCUUGGGAAUCUGUUCCAUGGAGGGGGAUAACUACGGGAAACUGUAGCUAAUACCGCGUAAUAUCGAGAGAUUAAAUGUGUGGGACCGUAAGGCCACAUGCCAUGAAGUGAGCCCAAGUGGGAUUAGAUAGUUGGUGAGGUAAUGGCUCACCAAGUCGGCGAUCUCUAGCUGGUCUGAGAGGAUGACCAGCCACACUGGGACUGAGACACGGCCCAGACUCCUACGGGAGGCAGCAGUGGGGAAUAUUGCACAAUGGGCGCAAGCCUGAUGCAGCCAUGCCGCGUGAAUGAAGAAGGCCUUCGGGUUGUAAAGUUCUUUCGGUGGUGAGGAAGGUUGACGUGUUAAUAGCACGUUGAUUUGACGUUAGCCACAGAAGAAGCACCGGCUAACUCCGUGCCAGCAGCCGCGGUAAUACGGAGGGUGCGAGCGUUAAUCGGAAUAACUGGGCGUAAAGGGCACGCAGGCGGUGACUUAAGUGAGGUGUGAAAGCCCUGGGCUUAACCUAGGAAUUGCAUUUCAUACUGGGUCGCUAGAGUAUUUUAGGGAGGGGUAGAAUUCCACGUGUAGCGGUGAAAUGCGUAGAGAUGUGGAGGAAUACCGAAGGCGAAGGCAGCCCCUUGGGAAUGUACUGACGCUCAUGUGCGAAAGCGUGGGGAGCAAACAGG